rnacentral:rRNA from 1 species
AGGACGAACGCUGGCGGCGUGCUUAACACAUGCAAGUCGAGCGGUAAGGCCUUUCGGGGUACACGAGCGGCGAACGGGUGAGUAACACGUGGGUGAUCUGCCCUGCACUUCGGGAUAAGCCUGGGAAACUGGGUCUAAUACCGGAUAUGACUUCAGGUUGCAUGACUUGGGGUGGAAAGAUUUAUCGGUGCAGGAUGGGCCCGCGGCCUAUCAGCUUGUUGGUGGGGUAAUGGCCUACCAAGGCGACG